AGGACGAACGCUGGCGGCGUGCUUAACACAUGCAAGUCGAGCAGAAAGGCCCUUCGGGGUACUCGAGCGGCGAACGGGUGAGUAACACGUGAGCAACCUGCCCUUAGCUCUGGGAUAGCUCCGGGAAAACCGGAAUUAAUACCGGAUAUUACACCGGCUGGCAUCGGCUGGUGUGGAAAGAUUUAUCGGCUAAGGAUGGACUCGCGGCCUAUCAGCUUGUUGGUGGGGUAGAAGCCUACCAAGGCGACGACGGGUA
rnacentral:rRNA from 1 species